GUUGAAACCUAAGGCAAUACCCGAAAGAGAACACAGAGAAGAACACAAAAACCUACUAAACAGAAGGUGGGAUGGAUUAUUUAUUGGAGGUUGGGAGUAUAUUAAUGCUCAGACACAGAGAGGACAGAUUCAAGUGCUUAGUCGCGCAGCUGUCAUUCGAUAUUACAAACCCACCCCUCACUAUCUUCCUUUCUAGACAGCAAAUAAGAGUUUG
rnacentral:misc_RNA from 1 species